rnacentral:rRNA from 1 species
ACGGGAGGCAGCAGUGGGGAAUAUUGCACAAUGGGGGAAACCCUGAUGCAGCGACGCCGCGUGAAGGAAGAAGUAUUUCGGUAUGUAAACUUCUAUCGGCAGGGAAGAAAAUGACGGUACCUGACUAAGAAGCCCCGGCUAACUACGUGCCAGCAGCCGCGGUAAUACGUAGGGGGCAAGCGUUAUCCGGAUUUACUGGGUGUAAAGGGAGCGUAGACGGAGCGGCAAGUCUGGAGUGAAAACCCAGGGCUUAACCCUGGAACUGCUUUGGAAACUGCCGUUCUUGAGUGCCGGAGGGGUAAGCGGAAUUCCUAGUGUAGCGGUGAAAUGCGUAGAUAUUAGGAGGAACACCAGUGGCGAAGGCGGCUUACUGGACGGCAACUGACGUUGAGGCUCGAAAGCGUGGGGAGCGAACAGGAUUAGAUACCCUGGUA